CCGCGGUUCCCAGAGGGCGUGAGGCGGUGGCGUGGACACCCCGGGAAUGGACCGUACCCUUUUUCAAAAGGAACUCAUGAUGUAUACAAAUAGAAUGCUCUUCCCCUUCUUUGCUGGCCAAUUCCUACUCAUGUGUUAAAACCAAGCUUAGAGAUUACCUCUUUGAUGACAUCUCUACCAAGUCUGAUUGAGAACAUCUCUGUGAGCACAUAGUAUUCUAACAUAUCUCUAUCAUCAUACCAUGAAAUCAUCAUGUCAUGUAAGCUCCUUCAGGGAAGGGAAGAUGUGUGAAGGGCCCACGGGUGCAGCAAGAGGAGUGAUCCCAUUCCUGCAUGCCUCAUUUGGCAUGACUUAAGACAAACAUGGAGGGAGCAUUGCAUCACCACAUCAGUCAGAAGCAAAAGAGGACAUCAGUUGGAAAGGGCCCUUUGGCACUGUGUAGCAACAAUCCCAAAAUCAUUCAUCUUGGAGGAGAAAGGUUGGAUUACCCAGGGAGGACGGCCUGACACCUGUCAUGGAAUCUUCUGCCGGGAUGGGGUAACUACCCUGGGUGCAAGUGAUGGGGCAGAAAGGAGAUGACAUGCAGUCAUACACAGAAUAAAAGAUGUCUGCUACCACCCUGUAGUCCUCAGGUGCUGUGGACCACCAGCAGUUCCACAGUCAGAACACUGACAAA